rnacentral:rRNA from 1 species
CAAUAGCGUAUAUUAAAGUUGUUGCAGUUAAAAAGCUCGUAGUUGGAUUUCUGGUCGGAAGCUCCUGUCCUCUGAUGAGCGUACAAGUGCGUCCUACCAUCCUUCUGUUAACCUUUAAGGCUUUCGCGGCUUUCUAGGGGCUCAGAUAUUUUGCCUUGAGAAAAUUAGAGUGUUUCAGGCAGGCUAGCGCCGGAAUACAUUAGCAUGGAAUAAUGGAAUAGGACUUUUGCCUCUUCUGUUGGUCAUGAGGCUCGAGUAAUGAUUAAUAGGGAUAGUUGGGGGCAUUAGUACUUAACUGUCAGAGGUGAAAUUCUCGGAUUUGUUAAAGACUAACUUAUGCGAAAGCAUUUGCCAAGGAUGUUUUCAUUAA